CUCCACCGUUUUAAUGGUUUAAUUUCAUGUCUCAUCCCUGACUCACUCUUUUUCUUUAUUCUUCAUCUCUCGCUUCUCUCUCCAACCAUACUUCCUCUGUGAAGAGCUUGGGGGAUGCUGAAGUGCUCUUCAAAUGAAAGAGCGAUAUGGAGAUAGGAGGAGAGGUGGAUGGACAAAGAGAGGACAACAGAAUGAAAGAGAUAAGACUAGAGAGACAUAGGCAGAGAAAGUGAGUGAGGACAGAGAUGAAGAGUGAGAGAGAGACAGAAAGAGAAAGAGGGGGGCAAGAAAACAAUGCUGUGGCUAAUGUUCCACUAAAUGUGGUUGACAGGGACUACUGGCGUGGGAAAACACAAGGCUGGCCCUUCUGCUCAGGAAGAGACAGGACGGGAUGGUGCUCGCUGUUUCCUGGAUUUGGGAAUGCUGCGUCCCAGAUAGAACCUCUCUCCCAGCUCUCUGAUGCUUAUCUGGGAAAACAGAGUGAGUUCCUGCCCUCCUGAAGAAUAGCUAGUGGAGGACAGAGAGAUCCUGUUUGUAAAUCACACCAUGGGAAGAGGGCUUGUUAAAUGUGUUUUACACAGCAGUGUUAUCCUGUUGAUGUCCCUGCGCAUUGGUCUAUGUCACACACACACAGUAGAUGACCCUUUACUGUGCUGUUCUUAUGAGCAGCUGGGGUUGUACAUAGGGCUCAUGAGACACACUUCACCUGCCAUGUAUGAUGCCACCUCUCUCACAUGCACAUGUUGACAAUGUGACAGUUCUGCAUCAGUGCCACAGACUAGUGCCUGAGUGACAGGACACCAGGUUGUAUAUUUGCAAUACUUUCUCCUAACUAGCUGAUGACAAAUAUAGCGAGCUGGCGCCAUGCAUGUAGGCCAUGAAGCUGGACAUUUCAUAAGGUGAUAUAUCUUAUAUUUCGGAUAUGAUCGUCUCUCGGUUUCAGAGGCAGCCCCACAUGGUGUUCAAUGGAAGGCCUACGCUUUCUAAAAGGUCUGAGACGGCAGGUGGCCAGGGACUAUCCCAUCACUGCCACCAAAUGCAGCAGGGAGGUGUAGUAGACAAUGUGAAAUAGAGGGGGAAGUCUGUAUAAAUGUGGUUUAGUUCCUGUUGCAAUAUGCUCAGAGUCUAGUGUUAUAAUGCCUUGUGCAUUUGUACAGUGGUUUAAUAAUCUGGCCACAUCAAUAGAUACAAUUACCAUGAAAUGAAAAGAGAUAAUUAGAAGAAAGUACCUGCGAUUGACGUAAAAGGACGUGAUGACGGCCUAGAAUCGUAGGACGCGGAUAUGAUGUCACCACGGCAGUGUCGCUGUGGCGGUCUCUAUGGCGACGCCGCAGCAGUGACGCCACCCUGGCUCGUGGUGAGUGGGUGUGACCCGCCCCUUAGAGCCCCCCUCUCCCUCUCCGUGUGGGCGGCCCGGUGAGGAGAGAGCGAAACACGACACCCGAGAGAGAGGAACCGGGGGGAGGAGAAAGAGUAGCCACAGAGUACAGAAUGUUAGUGAGUGGAGGAAGAAAGAAAGUCUAAAGAGAGGCCGACUGCUAUUCUACAGAACGGUUAUUUUAGCGACGAUAUGUCAAACAACGGGGAAGAUGCGAUUGAGAUGGAGUAAACAACUCGACAGUUCGUGAAAGUAUAUGCAAACAAGGAAAGAAGGGUUUUCGGUUCGUGUGCUUGUCGGGACGGUUGACCGUGUUCCGCUGCACCUCGAACAGGACAAGCCCAAGUUGCCGUGGGACAAACAGCAGUGAGCUACAUCAACUGAAUGCGAUUCGGGAAAGUAACGUUACCUCGAUCGCUACAGUUGGGGAAGGGUGUAUUGGGAAAGAAAGUGGAAGCAAAGGGGCCCGCGAGUGGAGCAACGGUGGAAAGUUUAACGUUAGCUUGUUCCUCCCUCGUUUUUCCAAUCCGAACCAAAGGAAGAGCUCAGACUUUUCCUUCCACAAACGCUACUGACUUGAGAUCCAUCAAGCUCGCUAGCUAACGUUAACUAGCUUGCAACACUCAAAAUGAAAACCCCCGGAGAUUCGGGUGUGUGUGAUGUGUGUUGGCCUGAGAGGGGUUGAAUAAUGCAUAGAUCAUUGGAAAGGUAUUUAUAGGAAAGCAGAGUGAUUUAAAGUUUAAUGGCAGGCUUUACCAUCAGUGCUGUACAGCAUCAUACACGCUCACUCUCUCGCUUCCGCACUCUCUCUCUCUCAAUUGUUUGUCACUCUCUUUUCCUGUCUUCAGUAUACUGGCUAGCCUGUCUCCUUCACUUCUCACAUCUCUCCAUCCCUGUCUUUACGUCUCUCCCUCUUUUCCCUGUCCGUUAGCUGUCCAGCCUGUCAUAUUGUCCUUUCUCUCUGUCAGAUGAACAGCCUCUAGAGCUGUUAGCCAUGUAAAGCCAUUGAUAUUUAAUGUGAUGUGCUGGUCUCAACCAUUCACUGGGCCGCUGAGGUCUGAUCAGUGGAAGGUAGGCUGGAACUAGAAUACUGAAAGAAGGUUCAGGACGACGCAAUGCCUAGUACAGCGUCAUACAGCGUCAUACAGCGUCAUACAGCUUCAUACAGCUUCAUACUGCCAAAUGCUCAAAGCUGAUUUGAAAUAUAUUGUGAUUCGCCCAAUAAAUCAAAGCAGUGUGUUUGGGUUUAAUCUUGUGUUUAGGUGUGUCCCAAAAGGAAUAGCGGUGACCCAAUAGGUCCUGACCUGUUGUUGGGAAACACUCAUCUGUUUCUCCAUCCCUCUCUCCACGUUUUCUUCUCUGACAGUGUUCACUCCAGCCUUCCAUACGCCUUUUCUUUUUCUCACUACCUGUCUUUCCCCUCUCUCCAUCUCUCCCUCAUGUUUACAUUGCCCCACUACCUUCCUUUCUCCUCUCUCCAUCUCCCCUCCUCUUGCUCUCUUUCCUCCCUCCCUCAAAACGUCCAUCUCUCCCCACUUUCCCCUCUUCCUCGCUCUCUGCUGUUUACAUCCUCCCCUCCUCUCACUGACUGGUGUUAUAGGGGGACAUCAGUUGUAAGCUCCUUGCCCAAAUGGCCACUGACACACACACACACACACACACACACCGACACACACCGACACACACCGACACACACCGACACACAGAGAGAGCCCUGCUCUGGGUCACAAUACUUUUAUCCAGGGCCAUUUUUAGCAUCAGUCUGCUCUGUGAUUACGCAACAACACGCGGGUGGGCCGACACACACAGACCCCAGACACAGUUUAACACACACACACACACACACACACACACACACACACACACACACACACACACACACACACUAGGGCUGUGCAUUUUUCUCUUUCAAGAUAAUUGGUUCCGUAUCCUGAUACAUGCGCUCCAAUACGAUACAGUAACAAUACGUUUUAGUUUGAUUAAAGAGUCAUGGGAAAUUAUUCUUUGCACUAACAUUUUGUCAUAUAAACACAUUCAUUUUCCAUUCCAAAUUAAAAUCUGCUGCAGAUGGAGUUCAUGAGCUGGGCCUCUCUGAGCUGGGCCUCUCUGAGCUGGAUCUGUCUGAGCUGGGCCUCUCUGAGCUGGAUCUGUCUGAGCUGGAUCUGUCUGAGCUGGAUCUGUCUGAGCUGGGCCUCUCUGAGCUGGAUCUGUCUGAGCUGGGCCUCUCUGAGCUGGGCCUCUCUGAGCUGGAUCUGUCUGAGCUGGGCCUCUCUGAGCUGGGCCUCUCUGAGCUGGAUCUGUCUGAGCUGGGCCUCUCUGAGCUGGGCCUCUCUGAGCUGGGCCUCUCUGAGCUGGAUCUGUCUGAGCUGGGCCUCUCUGAGCUGGAUCUGUCUGAGCUGGAUCUGUCUGAGCUGGGCCUCUCUGAGCUGGGCC
rnacentral:lncRNA from 1 species